CCUACGGGUGGCAGCAGUCGAGAAUCAUUCACAAUGGGGGAAACCCUGAUGGUGCGACGCCGCGUGGGGGAAUGAAGGUCUUCGGAUUGUAAACCCCUGUCAUGUGGGAGCAAAUUAAAAAGAUAGUACCACAAGAGGAAGAGACGGCUAACUCUGUGCCAGCAGCCGCGGUAAUACAGAGGUCUCAAGCGUUGUUCGGAAUCACUGGGCGUAAAGCGUGCGUAGGCUGUUUCGUAAGUCGUGUGUGAAAGGCGCGGGCUCAACCCGCGGACGGCACAUGAUACUGCGAGACUAGAGUAAGGGAGGGGGAACCGGAAGUCUCGGUGUAGCAGUGAAAUGCGUAGAUAUCGAGAGGAACACUCGUGGCGAAGGCGGGUGCCUGGACAUUAACUGACGCUGAGGCACGAAGGCCAGGGGAGCGAAAGGGAUUAGAUACCCGGGUAGUC
rnacentral:rRNA from 1 species